AUUGAACGCUGGCGGCAGGCUUAACACAUGCAAGUCGAGCGCGCGGCGGACGGGUGAGUAAUGUCUGGGAACCUGCCUGAUGGAGGGGGAUAACUACUGGAAACGGUAGCUAAUACCGCAUACCAUCGGAUGUGCCCAGAUGGGAUUAGCUAUUAGGGGGGGGAAUGGCUCACCUAGGCGACGAUCCCUAGCGGGUCUGAGAGGAUGACCAGCGAAACUGGAACUGGGACACGGUCCAGACGCCUACGGGAGGCAGCAGUGGGGAAUAUUGCACAAUGGGCGCAAGCCGGAUGCAGCCAUGCCGCGUGUGUGAAGAAGGCCUUCGGGGUGUAAAGCACUUUCAGCGAGGAGGCGUUACUCGCAGAAGAAGCACCGGCUAACUCCGUGCCAGCAGCCGCGGUAAUAC
rnacentral:rRNA from 1 species